AAGACAUUUUUUAAAACGUAUGUCAAAGUGUAACCGACAUGAAACUGCCCUGGGACAAACUUGUUGGAUGGAGCGCCGGUGUUGUGCGGUGAAAAAAGUGGACUAGUCAGCAGGAUGCGAGUACAGAUGGAGGAGGAGAACUGUACCGGUCGAUCCAGUGAUACAAGAGAUCCUGGUGUUCUGGAGACGGAAGCAGCGACCUAGCUUCGAGGAGCGGCAGCAGCUUGCCCCACCUGUUCUGGUGCUGCUACGGCAAUGGAAUCAUCUGAUUGAAAGGGAUGGAGUUCUGUAUCGUCAGGUUCAUCACCCUGACGGUGCCGAAAGCCGGCAUUAGGGGGGCGCUAGUAUAAAUAGUGGCCAUUUGAGCAUUCCUGGAUCGCUUACCUGUGAUCUCCUUUUUGGUCACCUGACUUCCCUUGGUGUUGCAGAGAUCAUCUGCGGGUCACCCUUCUGAAGCCUCCAUCGCAGCUGGUAGGUGUUUACUCAGUGUAGUGCGUACGUUACCUUACUGGGUGGUAAACAGAUAUUGUUUUUAGGUCGUAGCUGUAGCAGCCUCCUAUGAGCCACUCUGCUCAUGAUUCGUGAUGCUGUUUACUCGGAAGUGUGGGCCUUAGUUAUACUCAACGCUACGCUAACUGAAGUGCUGCUGCUUUGCUUUUACCGUCUGUUCCUGUUGCGAGGUUUCUUUUCCUGCUGCUGCCAGCCUUUUAAAGUGGACGUCGGCGUGGACAGCGGCCAUAUGCAUGCCGGUUACGGGAGUCGGCUGGCGUGCACAUUGACUAGAUGAUUAAUUUAUAGUCGGGCAGGCGGCAAUUUGGAGCAAUACGGCGAUUCCGUCUGCUCCAGAUUUUAAAGUUUUAUUUAGAUUGUAUGUUGUUUUUCUGUUGUUUUGAUUUGUAGUUUGGGUUUUGUUACGCCACUGGUGGGAGGCCCUUUUUCGAGCUGCGGAUCACCAGUGUGGUCCUGCAGUUGGGUUAUCCCCAGCGCUGCAUAUUAGUUUUCUUGUAAUCUAUUAUAAUUUUCUUUUUUCUUUUAUUCAGAUGCGGAGGGCCUGACGUGGAGGAGACUGGGGGUGCCUUGGUGGUGGGAUCCUUUGAGUGUACACACCUGCCUUUUUUUUAGUUUAUUAGUGUGAGUGUGUGAUAGUGUGCUGCACUUGUGUCUUGGUGUGUUUUCUUUUCUUUUUUUUUUGAGUUUGUGCAUGGCAUCCUUACCCUCCACUGGACAAAGGCAAAGCAGCAGCUAAUUUGGUGUGGGAUUCCACAGCUGUGUUACAGGAACUCAGGGACUUGAUUGCGCAGCUAAAAGUAGAC